rnacentral:rRNA from 1 species
GAUGAACGCUGGCGGCGUGCCUAAUACAUGCAAGUCGAGCGAACGGACGAGAAGCUUGCUUCUCUGAUGUUAGCGGCGGACGGGUGAGUAACACGUGGAUAACCUACCUAUAAGACUGGGAUAACUUCGGGAAACCGGAGCUAAUACCGGAUAAUAUUUUGAACCGCAUGGUUCAAAAGUGAAAGACGGUCUUGCUGUCACUUAUAGAUGGAUCCGCGCUGCAUUAGCUAGUUGGUAAGGUAACGGCUUACCAAGGCAACGAUGCAUAGCCGACCUGAGAGGGUGAUCGGCCACACUGGAACUGAGACACGGUCCAGACUCCUACGGGAGGCAGCAGUAGGGAAUCUUCCGCAAUGGGCGAAAGCCUGACGGAGCAACGCCGCGUGAGUGAUGAAGGUCUUCGGAUCGUAAAACUCUGUUAUUAGGGAAGAACAGAUGUGUAAGUAACUGUGCACAUCUUGACGGUACCUAAUCAGAAAGCCCCGGCUAACUACGUG